GCCUCUGUGGAUUAACGGUAAAUCACCUCAGCUUUAUAUACAUUGUAGUACCUCUCAUUAUGAGGAGCCGUGGGUUCGAAUCCCGCCGGAGGCA